CAGGCGCGGAGGCUGUUUCGCGUGUCGGCGCGCGGCGGCGUGGAGACCUACAACCGCUAGAAUUUUUGCGCCCGCGCCGGAAGCUGCCGCUCGCGUCAGUAGCAUGACACACCUCACAUGACCACGGCAAGCCAACGUCACUUCCGGAACGACUCUUCGCGCGACGUUCAGGCAAGCCCGGGUCACCCUAGCGCCGUGCCCUAGCGUUGUUGCGGGCUUUGCGGAGCUUGCGGGAAACAUGGCGGCGGUCCCGGCUGCCCGCUUCGAAUUUAAUUUGGCGUUGCUUUUGUAAAAUGCACUUCGUUCGUAGCAAAUGACUGUGUAAACGGCUUUCGCUUAGUCUCAGGCCGCUUCGACGACAGAGUAUUAUGGAUAACCUCGUGGUGUUUUCGAGAUCGCUUCUCGUUUCGAACGAGUCGAAGCCUAACAAAAGAAACAUUCGAGAUGUCAGCGCCACCUGUCGCUAAUGGCGCGAAAUAGCCGCAACAACGGCACAUGGCCUCUGAGAUUCGAAGAUAUCGCCGGUCAACUAAAAUUGUAGAAAACGUGCGCUGCUUAGCGUACGCUAUAUUAUAGCGAAUAGCGUACGCUAUAGUUGCUGACGCUAAACUAAAACUGUCUAAUAUGUAACACAUUGCUUAACGUGGCCGUUAAGCGAAGGCUAGACUGCCUUGAACAUGGCAAGCUAGCAACACUGCGCCGCCGCGACGAGACGCGCGGCUACGCGCGGCAACUCGUGCAUCGUUUGGGUGCGCGCCCUCUUCCUCCGUCGGGCGCCACGCGACGUCGAGUCAGCGCGGCGUGUGCGGACGCAUUGGAACGCGUACGUCUGGUUGAGCCUUUACACAGUGCAUCUUAACAGCGCAUCCAACCCGUCCGUGUCUCGUCCGUGACUGUACCUUAGUUCUCUCUCUUUCCCCCACCUCCACCACUACGCCACUCUACCCUCACACAGUAGUUCGUGGAAGCGUACGCACCACUGCACUGGGCACAUGCACAGGAUCGACGCAGCAGCUUGGAUCGCACUGUUUUCCUACUCAGUGCCGUCUUUCAGUAAGACGCACUUCAAACAUGCACUUCAAACAUAUUCACCAACGCAGUAUUAAGAAUAAGGUGAAAGUACAACCGCUUGUAAUCUACUCCUCGAAGUUCUAGUUGAUACAAAGCGAAAAAAGAAAAGAAAACCUAAAAACACGCAUAGGCAUCAACGUUUAACAUUUCUGGGGAAGAAAACGAACGGAAAGUGCCCUAGGCUACAUCUGCCGCAUUUUUGCUACCGCAAAGAUGCUUUCGUAAAAGAGUGUUGUUUAUGCCUAAAGCUAAAUGAAUCGAAUACGUGCACAGUAACAAUAACACGAUCUCGGUUGGCACGGUCGUAAUACAUUUAAAAAAUACCUUUACGAAGUUCCCUACCACUGGCAGCACCUACGAUAUAGGGAAGAAUGGGUGAGUCUACUGUGCGCAGUGAGUCUCAUAUAUACUCACCAACCUGUCGUGCAUAACUACAUUAAAUGCAGAAAAGGGACCUUAUCUAGAUAACAUAAUUACGUUAUUGAGAAACAGUGACUGCUAUCUAUCGUUUACACUUUGACGCCUGAGCUGAGGAGGCUAGGACAACCAGGGAGAUCUGAACAGGACAGGGAGUUUUAUGGAGUUUGGGUAGAGUAUGGGGACAUCCGAGGUAUGAAAGCCGUUGCAAACGGCGCCAUUGCGCCAUUCGCUGCGACGUCGGGAUGCCGAGACGUUGGUGCUCCACCGUGCCAGUCGGUGAUCUAAGUUUAAGAAGUGUUGAAGCGGGCUUUGGGGAGUGAGGGGGGGGUCUUCGGAGUGCCGAAAAAUCGAAACAUUAUUUUUGUUACUGUGCUCUUAAAUGUUUAGAUAGUUCAGUAUGCACGGCUUGUGUAAAAGAAGUGAGUCAAAUUCACCGACGUGACUUUUCAACCGGUCUUACGUUCGCACUACCAAAGUAAAUGAACGUGCUAGAAUUUCUCGACCUAAUCACCGGUAGGCGGACGGAUGGUGACCACCUACUUAGAAAAUGCAGCCUUCCCGAAGAGCAAGCCUCCACACCUCUCGAGCGCUGCAGUGGACAGAAGAUGCGUAUCAAGCAGCUGACUUUGUUGGUGAAGGCCGUCGGUCUGCAACUUUGCGGAAUCGGUGUUAGCAGUGGUGCUUCAUAAAUAAUAGAUCAACGGGAGUGCGCGUUUUAAACAUCGAAAAAUAAGGGUGUUAGGGUGUUUGUGUAGGAGCGUCGGCGAAGUGUAUAUGUGCUGUGUGGCUCCCAGAAAAGCAUCGUGUAGUGUGCGUCAUAGUUCUGGCGAAAGGCCAGGCGAAGUGAGACUGUCGUAAGCUGUGUCUGGUGACUUUGAAAAGCUCUGAAGUCGUCAUGGUGUAACGUGCGUUGGUGUGGUGAAUCGGUGAUGUUUAGUGGCUUCAGGUAAAAAAGUCAGGUGAUGUGAACCAGUGUUGUGAUUUUGCGCUGUAACGUGGCUGAGAAAGCGCUGUGAAGUGAUAUGCGUCGGUGUGGUGCGUCAGCUGUAUCGAGUGGCUCCAGGUAAGAAGUCAGGUGAUGUGAAUCAGCGUGGUGAUUUCGCGCCGUCACGUGGCUGAGAAAGCGCUGUGAUGUGCGUGGGUGUGGUGCGUCAGCUGUAUCGAGUGGCUUCAGGUAAAAAAGUCGGGUGAUGUGAAUCAGUGUUGUGAUUUUGCGCUGUCACGUGACCGAGAAAGCGCCGUGAUAUGCGUCGGUGUGGUGCGUCAGCUGUGUCGGGUGGCUUUAGAUAAAACGUCAGGGAAUGUGAAUGUGGUGAUUUCGCGCUGUCACGUGAUUGAGAAAGCUAUGUGAUGUGCGUCGGUGUGGUGCGUCAGCUGUAUCGAGUGGCGUCAGGUAAAAAAGUCAGGUGAUGUGAAUCAGCGUGGCGAUUUCGCGCUGUCACGUGGCUGAGAAAGUACUGUGAUGUGCGUGGGUGUGGUGCGUCAGUCGUAUCGAGUGGCUUCAGGUAAGGAGUCAGGUGAUGUGAAUCAGCGUGGUGAUUUCGCGCUGUCACGUGGCUAAGAAAGCGCUGUGAAUUGAUGUGCGUCGGUGUGGUGCGUCAGCUGUAUCGAGUGGCUUCAGAUAAAACGUCAGGUGAAUGUGAAUCUGUGUGGUGAUUUCGAGCUGUCACGUGGUGAGAAAGCUCUGUGAUGUGAACCAGUGUGGUGAUUUCGCGCUGUCACGUGGUUGAGAAAGCGCUGUGAAAGGGAGCGCGACGGUGUGGUGAAUCAGUGUCGCCGUGGCGCAAAACUCCAGUGAUGUGAAUUAACGAGUGUUCUAGCCUUGCUAAUUGUGUGCAGCGGUAUGGUAAUUUAUUUCUGCUGCAUGCCUCCAGGCAAAUAGCAAAGUGAAGUGAAUCGUUGUGAUGUGAAGUGGUUGCGCAACUGUGUUUGAGAGGGUGUGCGUGAUGCGGUGUGAUGCGUGGGUGCGAUGAAUUAGUUGUGCUCGUCGGUAUGGUAGCCGGUGACAAAAGUUUGCGACGUGGAACGCCAAAGGACGUAAAGAGGAAGCAUCGUGCUGCUUACGUCGCCUGUGAAACGAUAAUCCACGCUGUCUAUUGCGUGCCUGUGUUUCACGAGAAAUGCGUGGUGUGCUCCGACCUGCUGUUUUUCACGUGCUGGAGCACAAGAAUUCCAGUGUUCGGCCCUCGACGUAUUCUGUGCGUACUUUGUGUGUAGUGGAGUGAUGGGAAAAUUGCAGUGCGUAGUGCAAUCGUCCCGAAGUACUGCUGAUAGUUUGGAAGAAGCUUCUACUACUGUAGGUAAUUAGUGAAGUGGUGGAGGCGCCCUUGCUCGUCGUUAGCGACGCUGUCGUGCUUUGUUGCCUGUUUAAGGUUUGUGCAAGGCUAGGCGAAGUGCGAUUUGUGCGUCGGCCUACUUGAAGUGAUACAAGUUCUUGUAAAAAGUGUGUGGACGUGAGGUGUCGCUUCACUCAGCGGCGUGAAGCUCCUUACUGAGGAUGCCUUUUUGCCAAGUCGUGUCGUGUUGUGCUGCACAGUUCGUGGUUUGUGCCGUGCAAUCCAAUCCGUGCAGAAGUCCGCCUGAGUCGUGCUUGCACCAUCGGUGGUGAGUGGCUUACAAUAAGUGAGUGCAUCUGUGUGCGGUAGGUUCAUCGUUAUUAAGGCCUAUGAAGCGUGUGCUCCGUCAGCGUCCACGUUGUGUUUUAAAUGUUGCAAGUAUGCGUGUUAUACGUAUCCAACACGUGCACUGUGAUAAAAUGAGAUCAACGCAAAACUGAUCAAACGUGCAAUGAGAAGUGCGGCUGUGGUGCUGGCGUGUGUUUGUUGUGCAUAAUAUGGCGAUACGUCGUAUGCAAAUCGACAAGAUGUGAUGGUGAACAUGAAUGGAAAUCAACGUGCGCUCGUGAUGUGAAGUGCAGCUUUUGAGCUGAGCUUAGUGCAGGUCAGCUGUGAAAAGUGCAAGUGAAAGCGAGUUGCCGUGAAAUCUGCGGUAGGUGUGGUGUGUGGGGGAGACCAAGCUGGGCGUGCGGUAGUUCAUGCGGAGGUUCCGCUGUGGUGCAGUGGCAUCUGUGGAAGGUGCAGAAGAGAUUUGUGUGGCUGAUUCGCGGCGGUUGAAUAACUAGUGACCUGCGAGCAGUGGGUCCAGAUGUGCGUUAAUUGAAAGUGAGCACUCCGUUAAUUUUAAUCGUCUGCAUUUAACGACAUCGUGCGUGAGUGGGAAGAAUGGAGACAUUCGGUCGUCAAAGUGGACAUACUCAAGCAAUUUUUCUUCCAGCUGAAGUAAAGGUAAGCGCUAUGGUAAGUAGUGGGUGUAUGACACGUCUAAGAAUACCAAUAAAAGAUUUCUACACUCAAA